CUUCAGUGAUGACACGAUGACGAGUCAGAAAGGGCGCGUCCUGCUCUUGGUCCUUGUCAGUGCCACGUUCUGUGGUGCUGUGCUUGGGUUCCUUUUGCAAAAGUGUCCUCUUUGAUUGAUUAGAGGCAUUUGUCUGAGAAGG